rnacentral:rRNA from 1 species
GACGAACGCUGGCGGCGUGCUUAACACAUGCAAGUCGAACGGAAAGGCCCUGCUUUUGUGGGGUGCUCGAGUGGCGAACGGGUGAGUAACACGUGAGUAACCUGCCCUUGACUUUGGGAUAACUUCAGGAAACUGGGGCUAAUACCGGAUAGGAGCUCCUGCUGCAUGGUGGGGGUUGGAAAGUUUCGGCGGUUGGGGAUGGACUCGCGGCUUAUCAGCUUGUUGGUGGGGUAGUGGCUUACCAAGGCUUUGACGGGUAGCCGGCCUGAGAGGGUGACCGGCCACAGUGGGACUGAGAUACGGCCCAGACUCCUACGGGAGGCAACAGUGGGGAAUAUUGCACAAUGGGCGGAAGCCUGAUGCAGCAACGCCGCGUGCGGGAUGACGGCCUUCGGGUUGUAAACCGCUUUCGCCUGUGACGAAGCGUGAGUGACGGUAAUGGGUAAAGAAGCACCGGCUAACUACGU